GAGUUUGAUCCUGGCUCAGGAUGAACGCUGGCGGCAUGCCUAACACAUGCAAGUCGAACGGGGAAUAUAUGUGAAGUUUUCGGAUGGAAUAUAUAUUUCUAGUGGCGGACGGGUGAGUAACACGUAAGUAAUCAACCUAUGACACACGAAUAACUAAGAGAAAUCUUAGCUAAUACGAGAUGAGGUAUAUAAAUCGGAAGAUAUAUAUACGAAAGCUGAGGCGGUUGUAGACGAGCUUGCGUCUGAUUAGCUAGUUGGUGGGGUAAGAGCCUACCAAGGCAACGAUCAGUAGCCGACCUGAGAGGGUGAACGGCCACAUUGGGACUGAGACACGGCCCAAACUCCUACGGGAGGCAGCAGUGGGGGAUAUUGCACAAUGGGGGGAACCCUGAUGCAGCAAUGCCGCGUGAGCGAAGAAGGCUUUCGAGUCGUAAAGCUCUGUCGUAUGGGAAGAAAAAAAUGACAGUACCAUACAAGAAGCCCCG
rnacentral:rRNA from 1 species